UACGUAGGCAGCGAGCGUUGUUCGGAGUUACUGGGCGUAAAGCGCGUGUAGGCGGCCCUGCAAGUCGGGUGUGAAAUCCCACGGCUCAACCGUGGAAGUGCACUCGAAACUGCAGGGCUAGAGUCCUGGAGAGGAAGGUGGAAUGCUUGGUGUAGAGGUGAAAUUCGUAGAUAUCAAGCGGAACACCGGUGGCGAAGGCGGCCUUCUGGACAGUGACUGACGCUGAGACGCGAAAGCGUGGGGAGCAAACAGG
rnacentral:rRNA from 1 species